rnacentral:rRNA from 1 species
UACGUAGGGCGCAAGCGUUGUCCGGAAUUAUUGGGCGUAAAGAGCUCGUAGGCGGUUUGUCACGUCGGAUGUGAAAGCCCGGGGCUUAACCCCGGGUCUGCAUUCGAUACGGGCAGACUAGAGUGUGGUAGGGGAGAUCGGAAUUCCUGGUGUAGCGGUGAAAUGCGCAGAUAUCAGGAGGAACACCGGUGGCGAAGGCGGAUCUCUGGGCCAUUACUGACGCUGAGACACGAAAGCGUGGGGAGCAAACAGG